UUCUCCUGGCAGCUGGGCUUGUGGAAUAUCCACAGAGGAGCAUGGAGCUUCGUUUUCAAAUCCUAGCUUUGCCUGAUAGGAGCUACAUCUCUCAGAUGGAUUCAUUAUAAUCAUGGGACUGUAGGCUUUGAUUCUGAGAAGAUGUUCUAACCCUGGCCUACUUGCUGGUAUCUCAAUUUCAUUUUUCAUGGUGAAAUCACAUUGGUUCUGGUAUUGUCAAGACCAUCUCUCUCUGCAUAUGGCUGCAGAAUAAGCUAUUUCUAAUGUCAAGUUACAAAAUACAUUGAAAUGACAAGAGUCAUUUUAGAAGAAGGUAUGGAGGAGCAGAAAGGAGAAAGCAUGCACUGCACCAGGAUGUGGGACCAUCUCUUUGACCUCUGGAGACGUCUGAAAGAACAUGGGUGCUCAUAGCUAAAGUCCAAUGAUACAAAAGACUGCUCCGCUCAGUCCUGGGCUUGGGUGCUCACAGCAAGCACUGUGUGACAGGCCGCUCUCAGCUGCUCCUGGUUCCCAAUAAUUAGCCUGCUAUGGCAGCUACCUCUUGUGGUUUUGCCUGUGAGAGACAUUUGACACUGCAGACAUCAGAGGGAUUUUUCAGGAGACUCUUGUGGCGUCCGAAUGGCUCUUAAUUAACCACUUAGGUAUCCUCGUUCACUCUCCUGCUUGGCACUUUCCAAAUGGUAGGGGUUGCACUGUGGAUCUAAACACCGGGGAAGCAUACUAUCAAAAGAUCUUGUAAAUGAAGGCUUGUGUAAAUUAUUUUUAAUGAUUCCCUCCUGGCACAUCAUUAUGUUUGUAGUUACACACAGGCACUUCAGAGAUGGCUCGUCUUCCGUAAGGUCAGCUGCAGGACCACCAUAACUAGCUGCAGUCAGUAAAUGGCUUAUUAAUUAGCACAGUGAUUUUACAUUGCUAAGAGCUCUGAUGUAUGGAGCUGGAAUUGUAAUUGUGUAGGAUUGAAAUAAUAAGCCAUCUCAGGGCUCCUUAUGCAAAUUGCCAUAUUAUAAAAUCAUUACCUAUCUAAACACUGAGUUUUAAUAAGAAUUACAAUGAUGAAUUUUAUGAUAAUUGACACUCAAAUUUUAAUCUCCUGGAUUUUUAUCAUUUUGGUGGUUAAAGUGUGUUUCUAAUUAAAUGUUGCUUAAAAUGCAAAGGAUUGUUUAACAAUUCUAUUCAGUUCUUCUAGUUCAAAUCAGGUUAUUCUCUUUGGUCAUAGAAGAUAGGCCUUCUUAGUAAUAGGUAUCUGACAUUAUGUAUUACUUGUAGAGUAAGAUGUUUAAUCUUUUUUUUUUUUUUAACAAUUAUGAUUUUGAUGGCACUAUAUCAUCAACUGUAAGAUAGAGCCUACUGCAAGUCAAUGGGUCUGGCUACCAUAAUAAAGAUGACUCAAAAUAAAAAAAACUUAAAACCUAGGGAAGAUUAUGAAUACUUCUUACAUUUAAUAGGUUUUUCCUUCUUUAUUUAGAAUUCCAAAUGGUUUGAACAGAACUCGAACAACUUACUUUUAGAACUGCAUGCCAAGUUAACAAA
ensembl:lncRNA